UGACAGGGAGACAGGUGGUGCAUGGUUGUCGUCAGCUCGUGUCGUGAGAUGUUGGGUUAAGUCCCGCAACGAGCGCAACCCCUACGUUUAGUUGCUAACGCGUGAAGGCGAGCACUCUAGACGAACUGCCGUUGACAAACGGAGGAAGGUGGGGAUGACGUCAAAUCAUCAUGCCCCUUAUGUUCUGGGCUACACACGUGCUACAAUGGCCGGUACAGACGGACGCAAAGCCGCGAGGUGGAGCAAAUCCUAAAAAGCCGGUCUCAGUUCGGAUUGCAGGCUGCAAUUCGCCUGCAUGAAGUCGGAAUCGCUAGUAAUCGCAGGUCAGCAUACUGCGGUGAAUACGUUCCCGGGUUUU
rnacentral:rRNA from 1 species